rnacentral:rRNA from 1 species
GACGAACGCUGGCGGCGUGCUUAACACAUGCAAGUCGAGCGGAGCGGCGAACGGGUGAGGAACGCGUGAGUAACUGCCCCCCUCUCUGGGCUAACAGUUGGAAAAGGCAGCUAAUACCGGAUAGUGGGGGAUGACUCGCGUCCUAUCAGCUUGUUGGUGGGGUAGUGGCCUACCACGGCGACGACGGGUAGCCGGUCUGAGAGGGCGACCGGCCUCAUUGGGCUGAGAUACGGCGCAGACGGCAACGGGAGGCAGCGGGGGGGAAUAUUGCACAGUGGGGGAAACCCUGAUGCAGCAACGCCGCGUGCGGGAUGACGGCCUUCGGGUUGUAAACCGCGUUCAGCCAUGACGCGGUAGUGGCAGAAGAAGCACCGGCUAACUACGUGCCAGCAGCCGCGGUAAUAC